CUUAACGAGGGAUAUAAAAGGGCGAAGGUCAAUGAAAUGGGGUCCUUAUAGGUAUCUGCCCAUGUUCAAUCACUGAAGUAAUGAAUCUAAACAAGAAAACGAAGUAGAAGUGAAAAGCUUUUCGAAUAUAUUUUUAUAUCUCUUUGCUCAGUUUUCCCCUUUAAUGUCCCUCUCCAUUAUUAUUCAGAGUAAUGUGCUCCUCGCUGAGCUUUAUGAUUUCCAUUGUCAUUCUUCCCUCUCCUCUCUGAUUGCUUUUCAUCGUCUCUUUGCGUUUACCCUAUUUUCGUGACUCUCCUCUCUUUCUUCUCCCGUACCAUUAUUUUGAUCGUUUCUGAAUCUUGAGAUUGCUUCAAUGCAUGUGAUCCCUCUCCUCAGCCUUCCCCUCCUAAAUCUUAGAAUCCUAAUGCCGCAGGUGCUAUGUCGGAAAUCCAUUUUUUUAUCCCCAAGGAAAAUCAAAGAAGAAGAAAGCCCUGGUAUUCUCUACUUGAAUUCAGGAAGAUUCAGAUACCGAAAGCAAUAGGAAUGGGAAAGCGGAGCGGGCAAUAGGUUUAUGACUGAGCACUAGAGCCUGGAAUAGCAGGAAUGAAGGUUGGGAAAUAUGCCAUGCAGAAUUCCAAUAAGUUGGCACUGCUUUCCCUUUCCAUAUGAAAAAUGGAGAGGAAAAGCAUGGGUGGACCAAGCGUUUUAACCGGAAUCUAGUGACGGAGAAAGAAGAAAGAUUUUUAAGCGCUAGAUAGGGUCACAAUUCAAUAAAGAUACUUGGCUGGAUGGCGAAGCUGUGUUUUCUCUCCCAAAUCGAGAUCAAAGUCUUGCUUGACAGCGUGAGGAACUUUGAAUGCUCCGUACAAAGGGUCAUAGGGAGCUUUUGGAGGUCAGGGAGAAGUGUGUGUGGCCACUGUGCGCAAGCAUUCUGUACGGCGAUCUUGCUGAGGAGGUCCCCGGUCCCACCUCCAUAAAGAAGAUCUGGUGACUGCCCAUUGUCUUGUUUUGACUUGGAAGUCUCCUCAAAAUAAGGCAAGUGAGUCAACGAUCUCUGUAAGAGGAAUUGGAAGAUGGGGGUUCCAUGGCGCACUGAGAUGAAAGGCUGUCUUGGACGUGCAACCCCUUAUCCCUAUCCCUUUGUAGAUGAAUCCCAUGCAACGCGCCCUUGCUUGGAUGAAAAAAUGUCAUAAGGGGGACUCGUUUCACUUGAUUCGUUCCGUCGCACCCGCACUAUUCCUAAAUUUCUUUUCUGUUUCUAUUUUAAAAAAAAGGUCGAACUCAUUUCGUAUAGAAAGAAAGACGUGUCGGGUUUGGAUCGAGUGACACAGGAGGUGCUUCUGCGUGGCACUCUUUUUAAUGGGCUUUACCGUCUUUCUUUACCUUCAGAACACAAAGCUUUGCUUGGCGAAAUAACUCCUGCCUAUAUUUGGCAUCUCAUCUACUUAAUUUAAUGACAUUCCAUAUCUCAGGAAGGAAAAAAAGCGAAUGGAAUUUCAGUCAAGUCUUUUUUUCAGCUUUAUCCUUCUCUCAAUCAAAGAAAGGGAAUGCAGAUGUUCUGUCGCCCUCUCUUCGUAUGCCACCAGCCUUCCUCUCAAAACCAUACUGAUCCGAUCUUGCGCAGAUAGGUAGGGACGAUCCCUCCAGUAACCAUGCCUAAAAUCAUAAGCCGACCCAUUACUUCUGUAGGUGCCUCAAUUCUUCCCAUUUUCCUACUUAUAUAACUCUUUGGUGUCCAUACCGCACUUGGGGACGGGAUAUGAUUGCUUUCUUAAACAAACCUUUUAGAGCGUUGUCAUCUUACCAGCACAGGACUCAAUAGUAAGGACUGUCACUACAUUGAUAUCGCUCAUGGAUCGUGUUAUACUUGGGAAGAUCCGGCCCAAGGGGAAGUCUGUUAUCCACAACCCAACCUUAGAUGAGGGAGAAGUUCACGCUUGAUCUUCGACCCAAGACAAUGGAAGGGAGCUAAAGCCUUCUUCCUUUUUCAAAUUCGUUUAUAUGGAGCAAAAAGAGGUCGUGUCAUACCAUUUAUUCCGCCAAGAAGCAUUCGUCUACGGCACUUAGAACGCCUCGACACAUUUGUACUCACGCCUAGGACGGUCUUUCACACGGAAGUAAGAUUAGAGAGUUUGAUCAUAGUUUGACCGUAGUAAAAAAGAAGUCCCUUUCUCAUUUGCUUCCUGGUCAUCUCUAUAGAGAUAGAAGAAAGAAGUCCCAAGCAAGGGUCAUGCUAUUUCUAUUCUUUUCACUAUUGUUAUUCCCUAUUUCCUUAACUGAUCUUGAGUUGUACCGAAACAACAGAAAUAUGGUCUCUCAUAAAUUGAUUUCUUUCAUCACUGUUCUUAAAUCAAUCCGUGUCAGGUACAGAGCCAAUCUUCACAUCCCAUAGGUAAAACAAGUCGCUUUAUGGGCUCCUUGUGAAACUACAACCUUUCUGAAGCCCUAGUCAAUAAGUUGUGCGAAACCUCAAUUGGUAAGAGGAGUAAACACCUAUUCUUUGGCCAUUCAAAACAUCGAAUUGGUUGGCUCGCUCAACCUCUCGAACCGGGACAAAACUUCCCAGCGUUGCAUUCACCGCCUAGCCUCGUCCAACAUGACUGUAAGGCACGUUUUGCAUGCCUUUAAAGUGUACCCCCUCGGAGGUAUCAAAAAGUGCGAGAAAUCGCAUUGAUGACUAAUAAAGUAGGGUUUUCACUCGUGUGGGUUCGCCCACCUUCCCUUCAGCAGCUCUCCCUGGACACCCUAUACUAAACUGAGGAAUUACUUAAGCUCCUGGCUUUUUUUCCGACAACUCAAAGCCGCUGCACCGACAGAUAACAUGCCGUGGAUCUUAUGUGGCGCUAAAACUUCAUGAUAGAUCAAAUCCUGAUUACGACUGGAGAGGGACGUUGAUGUUCCAAACAUUGGGUUCAAGAGCUCGGUUUGAUAGACAUAAACCUCAGUGAUCGGCUUUACAGAUUCAUGGCCUCCUGCUUGAACAUUGUCCCAAAAACAACGGUCACACCCUUGCCAAACACCUCCUCAACCGACGAUAAUAUAUCAGACAUUGGACUGCAGGGCCUUAGUUGGCCAAGUAUGUUUUGUAUAUAAGGAUCCAUGGUCUUAUCAAACUCCAAUUACCAAAUGGUACAUACAGGAGUUGUUGCAUAAAAGGAAGUACCAUUGCCACCAGUGAUCUUUAAAAGUGAGAAACUAAACUCAUCACGUUAGGAGAAUCCUCUAAACUUAAUAUAAUAGGCUCACUUUAUCACUAGAAACUUUUUAGUGAUGACCAAAUAACAAAAACACUUCGUUGAAUGACGUGUUGUUAAAGAAAAUAGCUGCGUCGCCCCCCUUCAAGACAGGAAACUAUAGACAGGUACCUGAGGUGCCCUGCUGAGAGAAGAAUUUGUCAACAAUCAAGCACUUGAGCUUGCAAGAAAAAAUAUAUGAUGUCUAUGCUAUUAUUGGGAUAAAAUGAAUCAAAAAAGCAGCAGAAUACGAGAAGGAUUUCUUUUCUUAAAGGGUGUAUACAUUAGAGUGUACCUGCUUGGUAGGCAUGAAAUCACUGACAAAGAGUUGCCUAGCUCCGAUGAGCUUGCAAGCAGAAUUUGGAAUUUCAUAGAAGCGGGCAUAGCUAGGGGUGAACCACGAGAAGUUAGAGCAAUUAAUGGGUAGGUAUCGUAAACAUCCUGAGUGUAUCACGGCAUUGAAGCAGAAGAAACAGAAAUGUUUUCCUUUCUUUCGCAUUUGAUUUGCAUGCCCCCUGUAGAUUUGACCCGGAGCCAAUGCCAGUCUUUUUUGCGAUCAAAUGCACUUGAGCUAGUCACUAAGUAAGGCGACAGCACCAAAAGAUGUGCAUGUGUCAUUAGGCCAUUGGAUUACUCAACAAAAAGUGAAGUGCCAAACGAUGAAGAAGAACACUUGAAACCAGGCACUGAACCCUAAAUGCUUCGCCUGGCUAACCAGAUAGAUUACUUCUAUCUGCUAGCUUGCCCUAAGAAAAACAACAGUUCCACAGAUAUCUCCAGUGCUUUUCUAUUCGAAACACAAGGGCGCUAAGCAAAGAGAAUUUCAAUUAACGAACAGUAGGUGCUUUUUCUUCCUUGGCCCAUCUCAGUGAUAUGUAGGCUCUCAGCCCUUACUUGAAUCAUCCGUCCUCCCUAUAGAAAGAAAGCGAUUUUACGCCCUCCCGAAGGAAAAUGUUUGGGCCGGCUGGAGCUCGACACGGAGCAAAAUGUAGAUGAUCUCCGCAAAUGGGCGAGGUAGGAGGACAUGGUUGGAAGUUUUUUGACACGAGGCCUUGCGCAAAAGACGAGUACUUCAGAGCCCACCAGGAAAAGGAUAUUGGUUCGCAUCUCUAUAUUGAUCCGCGGCGCUUCUAUGAAGUUUUCCUUGCCUCCGAUUUCAAAGCUGAAUGGAUGACUGAAUCUGUCGAAGCAUCAUUCGAUAUUUGCAGAUUGACGUAAUGCUAUGAGGAGUUAGAGUCUUCUGCGGGAAAGACAUUUCUUGUAGAGUUUUUUAGAUCUUUUUGCUCUACUUUUUCGAGUAUUCCUUACAUAAGAUCUCGGAAGAGCCGAUGUUUCCUUCCGUUCCCGGUAAAUAGGAAUUCUAUAUCCUCUAGCUCUUCGUGACCUGUUGUGUCUGCCCUCGACUUAGCCGUCAUAGAAUAGAAAGGUUUAUAACCGUUGAAAAGGAUAUUCUAAACGUUAAGGGGCGCUCAACCUUCCACUCAAAUCCUUUUUACCAGAAGGGAGCUCGCCUGCCACGACAUAUAAGGGAAAAGGCAAUGUGUGGAACUAGAUCAAGUUUGAUCUGCCACUUACACUGGAAGGGCAAGAACUAAUGCUUAUGCAUAUUCUUCCACGGCAUAUAGAAGGUUAACUACUCCAACUCGAUGGCUGAGAGAAAAGUGAAAUCCUAGCUUUCCCUAGAAUCAGCUCUUUACUAUCCUGCCCCAGGGGGUUUUCGGAGACAUUGAACCCUAGAUUUAGAAGCUUUCCCAAACAAACCUUUUGACCAGGAAAAGGCAUACCAAAGAUUUUUGGAAAGACACAUUGAAAUGGAAGCUCUCGAACCUAUUCCGAAGUAAGUUUAGGAUGAGGUUUCCGAUCCGGUUGGUGUUCCGACAUCCCGAAUCGAGGUGGCUCUAAACUCAGGUUUGCCUACCUCUCUAGUUACAGAGGGAGGAGAGGGGCUUCGUCUUUUUAGGUCUCUGAAAAGCCAGUUGACAUGUGCGAUCCAAUCAAGGAGGCAGUACUUCUGCCUGAGUUCCUCUGGAUCCUACUCGUCGGGAUUACCGUGCUCCCGCAGGUUGUUCACCAUGCGUUCCAUAGCACUUUGACUUUAUAUCUUUUACCAUCUUGGAAUCAUGUAGAUGUAGAUUGCUUUCAUCGCAGGGUCAUUCCUGAAGGUGGAUUGUACCAGCUCUUCGUCAUCAUAAAUAGCAAGCCACUCCUUGUUUAUUACUCCGCUUUUUCACUCUCUCAUUCUUAGUUAACCAUUUCAUUCUAUUGAAUCUUUGGUACUUUGAGUUUUGAACAAUAGUUAGAAUUUAUUAUUAAGCAAUCCCCCGCUUUUUGACUUCUUUCUCUCUUUCCUUGGAAAGAACAGUUGUUUAUUAAGGCCGCUUUUCUAGAAUCUACUUUGAAAGUGGAAAAUAGGUCUCUUCUUCAAUGAAGGGAGAACUAUUCACUAAGCCAACAGGUUAGCGAAGGAACUUUUGCCGGUCUUGCUGCUUUAAAGCGAAGGAGCCUUCCUUAUUCCUAUGGUCAUUAGAAUAACCUAUUCAUCCUCUUGGCCACUCUGAACUCAUAGGUAGCUGUGGUUCGGUUUACCUUCUUUCGCUUUGCCUUGGGUUCGGUGGUAGUAAUAGUCCUUCUUUAGCUCGCUCCUCCUUUCUUGGGUUCCCUAACUGUCUGCUAUUGCUAAAGCCCAACCUAUGCCUCCGGCAAAGGCAAGACGGAAAGCAAGCAUUAAGUGAAGAAGCAAGUUCAAUUACUCAAACGUUGGAACUUAUUGUAAAACACAUUCCGUCGCCCAAGUCAGAUCAUUGCCUACUGGCCACGAGGCUUAUGAGGCCAGCGGAGGAGGUGGAGGGAAACGUAUGAGAUGAGGGAUUUGGACUUGCUACACUUACCAGAUGUGAGGUAGUGAAAUGCUUUCCUUCCAUAGCGAACUUUCCCAUAGCCGUAGUUCCAGACUCUCCGAAGCCUAUGACCAAGAGUAAGGGCACUCAUUAGGCUGCACCGAUUAGAGAGAGUACGUCGUCUAUUCAUUCCACUCAUUCCUUAACGUCCAAAGCUAAGAAUUCAAAAAGUUAAUAGGUGGGUAGGUGUUCUUAGGUUCGUAACAUGCCUUUCUCAGAAGCCUUGUUGAAUUAAUGGCAAGGGAGAUAUUAGCUUAAUGGCUUGGCUAUGCUUGAGUCAGCGGAAAUCAUUUAUGAUGAAUAAAAUCAAUCAGAGGUAGUUACCUCUCCUGUAGCCGGGUAUGAGAGGUCUAGUUCGGUGAGAAUAGAUAGGGAUAGAAAGACCAUCCUGGUGCACAUGCUAUGGGUCUUAUUGUUUGUUGGGAAAGCAAGGAAGACUAGCUUUGGCGUGGGAAGCUUACCAAUUUAUGCGGUGGCUACUCGAUCGAGAAGAAAGAGCAGUUGUUACCCGCCUCCACUAUUAAGCAGCAUGAGCCACUAGACUGACUCGAUAUCCGUGUGUGGAUCCGCCCGAAGGCAGUCGAUUGGAAAAGAUGAAGACAAGGAAGAGCCAUUCUUCAUACAUAGGAGCGAGUGGUCGAAAUGGAAAGUGGACAAACGGAAUUCUGUACAACUAUAGGGUUCGGUUCUUUCUUCUGUCCCAGGUCCUUUCUUCUCUUGCGGAUCUUUCUUACUUUUAUUCCUCAGCUCGCUUACAAAAACUACAUAUUUUUUUUUAGAUAUGGACCCGGGGUUCUCGCUUCUGCGCAAGCUAUUUCCGAACCUGCCUGCCUUCGGGGAGAUGGGUUGGGUCAUACGCGGGACCUACCCCGAGGAAGGAGGCUUGAGGCGCGCUAAAUACAAUUGUUUUAUCAACACGGGGUGGAGAAGGCAUUGCAAUUUCCUGCUUUUAUGAUUGCUUCGAUUCCUCUGAUUCUUCUUCUGACAGGAAUUACUGAUCCUUUAUUGGCUAUGUCAUCCUCUGUUUAGUAGAUGUAUGGUAUGGUAUGGUUACUAGGUAGUGUUGCUCGAUACCCGAGCUUGCACCAGUAUUAGCUGGCUAUUCCACUAUUGCCAAAAGAAUUCUGGCUAUUGGCUUUCCAGCUUUCACCUCUCUGCAGCUUCUGGAGCUGCUUAAGCGCUUAACUUCUACCAAAGUGUGGUAUACAUUGGAUGGAAUUAGAGUGGGCGUGGCUACCUACAUCGGGCAAGAAUAGGAGUCGUAUUUCGUUUUGUACCACCGAAUAAGAUAGCGAGAAAUCAGAUCAAGAAUGGAACCUGUGGACCCUCCGACAGUACGAGCCCUUGUUCGCUUGGUUGCUCAACCCCUAUCUCCCAGGCUACGACCUAUCGCAUUGCCUUCGAUGAGUCUAUAUCGGAUGGGUGUUCAAGUCUUUUGAAAAACCAGCCCAUUCUAGUCUAUCUGUCCCACUCUAAAGAAGAUAGUGAACCUGAGGUUGUGCUGUCUCCAAUCCCACGAGUCCAAUAGGAAGAGCUAGUCCUCUAAAGUAAAGUAGGCGAAUUAUGGCUAAAUAAAAGAAUUCUUACUUUCACGGCCAUCAAACAUUCCAAGACAUCUCUUCAAGACUAUCCGACUCAGCUCUGGCGUAGGCAGAGCCAGGAACUAGAUCCGUAUCCCAUGAUCAGUAAUCUUACAAUUACACAACCACCAGAUCCUUUAGGUUUGUUCGAUCUAUCGAUAACUGAUAGAUAGACGCCUUUGACACUUCCUCCAGGUGGAGUUGAUUAACACUCUCAUGGUUGGUCGAUGGAAAUAGCAAGACGAGACAGACAUGAUAAUCUGAGAAAUAUAUGUGGUGAUCCCUUAAGCAAUAUCUAAGAAUUAAAUGUGUCCAAGAUUCAAUUGAUUGGUUGAAGCCAAGGUCUCGAGCUAGUCCAUCUUCCUAUAUGAUAUUCUUAAUAAUGCGCAGCACCAAGCCUGAAAUUGGGGAAUGAAUUGAAUCGAUUGCCUUCCUUUCCUGGACUGGACUGAAACUAAUAGGCUGCUUCCUCGUCUGUACUUCAACUAGGAGGUUGUUGAUAUCACUCUAGAUUCUCGAAAGGAUAUUGGAUUGAUUUCAAAUCAAGGAAACUAUUGAAAUCGGGUAGCGAACCUAUUGUUCCUUAUUCUUUUAUCCUCCUCGGCUCUAGUUGAACAAUGCACACACCCCGCUUUAGCUGCACAUAAUAAGGUGAUCCGUGAGGCGGCUAGCUAUUAGUUAGUGCGAUGUGCAGUGAAGUGAGAGAUCUCUCUACUCUAGUAGACCAGAUGAAAUAGCUGCAAUGACUAAUGUUUGAUUGGGAAGACAGAAUAAAAUACUCAACUAAACAUUGACGAUUCUUUUCCAGAAAUCUCAAGAGCCUUUUGUUUAUUUCAAACGCUUGAGACUGAAGCCCAUUCAAAAUAUCACACAUCUGCUUGUAUUCUUUUUUAUGUAACUUUAUAUAGAAGUGGUUUAAGUCAUGGGAAGUUAAUAGCCGAAAGUGAUUCUAGAUAUCCCCCGUGGGUUUGCAUAAGUAACCUCCUAUCAGAUCCGAUAAUGUAUCAGGAUCAGACCCCCUCUCUGCUGGUUGCCAAUCCAAGGGUUUGCAAAGCAUCGAAAGAUUGAGUUUGAUAGGGAGCAGAUUUAUGUUCAAAUUGGACAUAACAUAACAAGAAUUCUCUAUAUACCCUUGACCUUUCUUAAGAACCAGCACUGGAUCUUCUUUUGUUACUCCCCUAUCUGUUGAUAUAUGUAGAACAUUUCUUUCAAUCAUGAAUUGGAGCAAGUAUUUCCCGAUAUCAUAAUGACACUGCAUUUUUUUCUUUUUCUCUUUUUUGCUAGCACCUUUGGGCUGAACAACAUCCUUAACUGAUUCUACCUUACUAGUGAGUACUGCUUCCACCUUACCACUACUUGGUGCUUUGUAUUGUAGAAACCUUGCUUGUUCUCGUACAGUUGAAUUAAGUUGAUCUAUAAAUCUAGCUGCCUUAACUGCGGAUGAUUCCUGAAGAGUGUUGAAUACCAAGCCUAGUACAUGAAUCAUGAUAGCCUCAAGCGUAUAGAUACCAAACAUCUUAAGCAUAGGUAAGCUACUUGGUAGGCAACCCUUUGGAUAUUGCUUAGCGUUAGGCUGAUCUUUAUUAAUCAAGAACUUUACUAUGUUAGGAGUUACUUUAAAUAGAUUAUCCUCAUCGAACUUCAUUGUGCAAUUUGCAAUUUGAUUCUGUAAAUCUAUUAAUUCAGUAUCAGAAAACACACCACUUUGAUUCUUCUUUUCAUUAAUCAACAACUUUCUAACAUCAUCCUGAUACAUAUCAACAUUAGAAGUCUUUUUCGUUUUGUCAAUAUCCAACAGCUUAGCGUAGUAAUCGUUCCAGAACUCCUUAAUAAUACGUGCAUUUUGCAAAGAUUUCUCAUUCUCAAUGCUAUCAUCAUAUGUCUCGGAACAAUAAAAUAGAACCUGCAUACUUUUAUUUGUUACCCUUAAAAAACCGCAGUAAGGAUACGAAUACGACUGAAAUAAACUACUAGAAUCUAAAUAUAAGGAAAGGAUCAGAAUAAGUACUAAUGCUCUGUAUAGUACUUUUCCCCGAGCGAUGGUUUAGCGGAUUCGGAAUUGUAACCAAGCAUCCUGGGUUCUAUACCCGAUUCAACACUAGAGCAUGCAGCCGAUCCUGAAUACAUAACUCUAAAAAGUGUGUGUGCAGUUUUGGAUCUUUAUUGGUAGCCAGUCUUUCACUUCUGCCUCUCCACUCCCAUGCCUUUCUUGGUCGGACCAACCCAACUGGCGAUUUCCGACGAGUCUUUCUGCUUAGAGCAAGAAGCGGAACCAAAAUAAAGCUUUCUUUAUUUUCAUUUAUGGAUAACCAAUCCAUUUUCCAAUAUAGUUGGGAGAUUUUACCCAAGAAAUGGGUACAUAAAAUGAAAAGAUCGAAACAUGGGAAUAGAUCUUAUACCAAUACUGACUACCCAUUUCCAUUGUUGUGCUUUCUAAAAUGGCAUACCUUUACAAGGGUUCAAGUUUCGAUCGAUAUUUGCGGAGUGGAUCAUCCCUCUCGAAAACGAAGAUUUGAAGUUGUCCAUAAUUUACUGAGUACUCGGUAUAACUCACGCAUUCGUGCACAAACAAGUGCAUACGAAGUAACACGAAUAUCUCCAGUAGUCAGUCUAUUUCCAUCAGCCGGCCGGUGGGAGCGAGAAGUAUGGGAUAUGUCUGGUGUUUCUUCCAUCAAUCAUCCGGAUUUACGCCGUAUAUCAACAGAUUAUGGUUUCGAGGGUCAUCCAUUACGAAAAGACUUUCCUCUGAGUGGAUAUGUGGAAGUACGCUAUGAUGAUCCAGAGAAACGUGUGGUUUCUGAACCCAUUGAGAUGACCCAAGAAUUUCGCUAUUUCGAUUUUGCUAGUCCUUGGGAACAGCGUAGCGACGGAUAAUUCCGAAUCUACAUAGGUCUAGUCCAGGGGACAAAUCAAUAGGAAAUGCUAUUUGCUUCUUAAGAAGAAGAACUUUUUUGAAAUGAAAGAGUUUCCACGGGCGUCGGAUAUCAUUUCUUCAAAUAAGGAAGAAGUGUUAUCGAAGGAUUUCCUUCCAUUCUUCCUAGUAUGGAAGAAGUAAAGAAAAAGUACUGCGUCUCGAUCUAUACGAAAGGGCACUGGUUUUUUCUUUCGGUUUCAUUGAUAGCAGAAGAGUACGCUAGCUAGCGGAGCCUGAAAACGCUUGCUUGCGCCCCACCCCUACGGAAACUAUUGCCUAUGCUUGCUGCUCGCUCAGUGUCAGUAGAAGGGAAGAAAAGAUGGUCACUCCUUUUAGGAACAUGGCGAGCCUUACUUACGACUGUUGCACUUCACUCGCUGCUCGUUCAUUCACUUGCUCAUGAACUCGCUGCUUCGCCAGAAGUGACUAGUCGCCUCCUUUCCUCCGCCGAAAGAUGCUUAGCCAGAAGCGACGAAGGAGGGGAGCUGGGGAAGGCCGACGAUGGCAAUGAGGGGGAAGCUGUUGUAGAAGCUUUGCCCCUUGCUUUACAUAAAUGGAUUGUUAUGAACUUACUAAAUGACCUUAUUUAUUCUCCCGGAACGCUAGCAAAUCUAAUAGUUCCAUCUGCUCUUCUUAACUUAAGAACGAAGGCCGCCAUCCUUCUUAUUCAGGAACCCUUUGUUUGAGGAGGGCGUAUCCCCGGGAAGGGGAGAGUGGCCGAGCGGUCAAAAGCGACAGACUGUAAAUCUGUUGAAGGUUUUCUACGUAGGUUCGAAUCCUGCCUCUCCCACUUGUUGUAGACUUAAGAGAAGAGAAAGUAGGCGGAAGCCUAGGAGGGCCAACCGAGCGAAGCUCUUUUUUUUGCCGUGCCGUGAAGUGCAAUUUUCUCGUAUGCGUUUUAGAGAGGUUGUCGAAAAAAGACGAUCUAUAGAGAUUCCCCAUCUAUAUCCAAUCGAGAAUAGAAGCGAGUCGCUUCCGGCGUCGGCUUGUAGUCUCUGCAGUCGGCACACGCACGCGCCCGCCAUCAUGCCUCCUUGGUUCGGGACGAAGCCAAGCGAGACAUACGAUAGACGAAGGAAGCGCCCACCCAGCAGGAGGGCUAAAACCUGUAGUUUUGAAGUUGCAAACUCCAGCUUCGAAGCUGGAGUGCUUUAGCCCUUUUUUAAGCAAGAAUCACCGUCUUGAGCGCCUUGCGCGCUCAAGAACAAGCAAGGGAUGAGCGCUUUGUUGCUAAAGCGGAUACGUUUUCUUGCUGGGGAAGGCUAGUUUGAUCGAGGAUUGGAGAGGAGGGAGAGGUGGAAUAAAAAGCUCGGGAUGGAUUUGGGAGUCUUUGUGCGAGCCGUAUGCGGUGAGAGUCGCACGUACGGUAAGGAGGGGGGUUCGCGUCUAUACGUGUAGUGUGGUGGUUGGGCCUACCCACCCUAUUUGUUCCAUGAUCUAUGGGUCUACUGGAGCUACCCACUUCGAUCAAUUAGCCAAGAUUUUGACCGGAUACGAAAUCACUGGUGCUCGAUCUAGUGGUAUUUUUAUGGGGAUUCUUUUUAUCGCUGUAGGAUUCCUAUUCAAGAUUACUGCAGUUCCUUUUCGGGCGGCUGUAGGACGGACGGCCCCCUAUAGGUAGUAGGGUAGGGUGGGUGGUACCGCUCAGAUAGCGGCCAAUCCUCCUAACUGCGCGCGGGCCGGGCUUAGAGCGCGUGAAACUCAUCACUACCUCGUAAGGGCGUUGAGACCAUAGCAUGUUACACAAAAGCGCCGCUUUCUCAGGAGUGUUGUCACACAGCUGCCCGACUAGAAGAGCUACUCGCUCUGUAGUGUUGUCACACAAGAUAAGCACGCCGCCCGCCUGCUGGCCGGGCGAAUCGAAGUUAUCUUCCGGUCAACUGUCCACCCAGUCAAGUGCAAAAAACACAGUGGAAUCACGCAACGCACGCUACUGGUGUGCUUCCUGCCCACGAGGAAAGAAGAGCGACAAGGUUCAGAUUUGACUGUUUGCAGCAUGGGAGCUGAUUACCCAAAAAAUCCCUGGGAAAAAAGAAAAGAUAUCUCGGUAACGAAAACCAUAGGAGGCUGUAUUGGCGAGAUCCAAGGGUUCACAGCAGCCCAAAAGAAAAACCGCCUGGAAGUCCGAGGACCUUUAGUACCGUAACGAACCAGCAGCCUUCGCGCCAAGCGACGACCGCCCUUGUCCCUUUCCUUUUUCCAUUCAGCCUACUUCUUAGCUUUGUUCCGUCAGUCUAAGGCAAAGCUUAAGUGGUUUGCCUACCUUACCCACUUGAUGAAAGGGAACGAACUUCGUUUCCUUGGCGGCUUUAUGGAUGGAUUCAGUCAGAAAAAACUCCUUCCUUUUGAAAAAACUGACGCUUUGCGUCUUCGCUUCCGAGGGUUAGGGUAUAGGCCGUUUCGAGCAAGCUUUCGCUUUUUCUCCCGGCUUUCUACAACUUUCUCUUUAGCUUCCAAAGGCGACCCAAUGACCUUUCUGGAAUUGGAAGUAUUCGUCGCCCUACCCUAAGAAAGAAGUCAUUAUAAAACAGCUUGCCCUCCAGAAGUACCAAAGGUGCGCGGAGCCCGGUGAAAAUGAAUAUGUUUGCUACUGAAAGAAGCCUGCCUAUUGACUAAUAUUCGUCUUUAGAAUGAAAGUAGCUAUGAAGCCCAAUCUAUACUGUCGAUUCAAAAGGGGGCAUAGUCAUAUGGGUGGGGUGUUUGUGGGGAGCUGCCUUGGAUAUGAGGAAUUCCUCCAAUCUAAAAAAAAUGAACAAAGAAAAAGUCCGUGACGAAGAUCUUUCUUUUCUAUCAAUAGAUAGGAAUGAGUGUUCGUUAUAGGGGAUAGGAUCCAUCUGCUCUCUCUCUCUCUCUCUAUUUUCUUUGAUGCAAUUUAGAGAGAAAGAGCAGUGCGAAUUAGAAAAAAAAGAGAAUCGGGAGAUGAUUCCAAAAUAGAUACAUAGACAUCUCAAGUAAAGGGAUGUAUAUAUUAUUCCUAUAUAUAUCAUCUAUCUAUGAAAAAAGUAAACAGAGUUCGUUUUUGGGUUCCCCGAAGCCCCGAAUGGAUUGGAUCGUUUCUGCUUCUGCCAACGAAAUGAAGGCCUCGCCCCUUC
rnacentral:lncRNA from 1 species